rnacentral:lncRNA from 1 species
AUGACGGUUGCAUGUGAGUCUCUCAAGUGGAAAUGGAGAAGAAGCACAAAUAAAGACAUCUGUAAUGCACACCGGUAUGAAAAGGAUGUUUUGAUCUCAAACAAAAACGUCCAGGAGGACAGAAGCGUGAUCAGUCACCAGCAGAGAAGUGUUUGGUGGACAGCUUUGCGUACGCUGGGUUAUGUGGAGUGUCUUUGGGCCAGCUCUUUCAAGGAUCUGAGCAAAAGUAAAAAUAUAUAUAAUAAUAUCACUCUAAUGUGCUGUUUAAUAAUAUACAUUAGCGUUAAAAAAGUAUCUUAUGCACACUGAGGCUGGAUUAAAAAUAUUUAAAAAAUGCAUUAAUAAGAGUAAAAUUGUGAAAUAUUAUUGCAAUUUAAAAUAAAUGUUUUUAUUUGAAGAUAUUUUAAAGUAUAUUUUAUUUCUGUGAUGCAAAGCUGAAUUUUCAGCAUCACUACUUCAGUCUUCAGUGUCACAUGAUCCGUAUGAUCAUUCUAAUAUGCUGAUUUUCAAAAGAACAUCUAUUAUUUGAAUCUUCUUUAACAUUAUAAAUGUCUUUACUGUCACUUUUGGUUUUAUGAGUCUUUGCUGAAUAUUAACAUUUCUUAGAAACAUGUUCGAAUGUUCUGACACCUUCCUGUCCAUCUUGCAUGCGGAGCCGCUGCUCAGAGCCGGAGCUUUACCCAUCACUCAGGUACUCGUCUGACAUUAACCCAGCUGGACGACUGCAUUAACAUAUAGAUGCUCGUACAACUCAUUGUUUGUGACGUUGUGUUUUGUUUUUCAGGAUCUUGUGUCAUUCUCAGUUAAAGAUGGUGAGCUGAUGUUUCCCGUUUAGUUAGCUGGUCCUUUUUGCAAUGGCGUGCAUAAAAACAAACAAUUUAUUAUUUAAAAUAAUACAAUUUAAUCUCACAAAGAAAUGUCCAUUUUACAUUAUAUUUUGCAUGAAGAAAAUGAAUACUGUUAACAUAUUUUGCAUUGUCGUUUUAAUUUCUCAACAGUAAAGCAAAUUCACUUCCCAGUGCUUGUUACUGCAAUGAAAAGAAAACAUGAAUUUCAUUAUUUAAAUUACAUUAUUUAAAUAAAACGAAUUAUACAUUACAUUAUUAAUUAUUCCAUUAUGUUAAUUUAUGCUAAUUAUUGUUUAUGUAAAUGUGAAAAAAAAAUAACAUUACAUUUUUACUUUUAACUGUGUUUUUUAAUCUACAGUAUACACUGUGUUCCAAAUUAUUAUGCAAGUGACAUAUCAAAAGGAUUUCGGUACAAUAAAGAGUCAGAUUUUUGUUUGUGUGGUUUUUCACUUCGUUUUAGAUAACUGGUAUCAAUCUCAGACAGGUUUGUUCAAUAGUUUGCCAGGUCUUCUUAGGUAAAUGAAAACCCUUCUUAAAGAGGUUGUUCCACAUUAUUAAGCAAGUCACAGUUCUCAUGAAAUAUGGUGAGGAAGAAAUAUCUUUCUGAAGAAUAAAAAUAUGAAACAAUGCAAUGUCUUGCAAAAGGCAUCAAAACAAACAAUAUUUUGCGAAAUGCAAAUAGAAAUGAUUGAACUGUCAAAAGAUUUGUGAGUGACUUAGAGCACAGAAGAUCUUGGUCAGAUGAAGAUUUAUUAAGGAAAGUUUCUGUCAAACAAAUGAACUGUAUUGUAAUGGCAGCUGUGCAGGUUUCUCUUUGUGAGGUUUGGUUAGUGACUGAAACGCAGCUUUACACACAACCUUCAGUCUGCAUGCAGAGGAUCUUGUAGCUUCAAACACCUGUCUGCUGCUCAGCAGUGGCUUCUUUACAGCUGCCAUUACAAUACAG